rnacentral:rRNA from 1 species
AAAUUGAAGAGUUUGAUCAUGGCUCAGAUUGAACGCUGGCGGCAGGCCUAACACAUGCAAGUCGAACGGUAGCACAGAGAGCUUGCUCUCGGGUGACGAGUGGCGGACGGGUGAGUAAUGUCUGGGAAACUGCCUGAUGGAGGGGGAUAACUACUGGAAACGGUGGCUAAUACCGCAUAACGUCGCAAGACCAAAGAGGGGGACCUUCGGGCCUCUUGCCAUCAGAUGUGCCCAGAUGGGAUUAGCUAGUUGGUGAGGUAACGG